rnacentral:rRNA from 1 species
UACAGAGGUCGCAAGCGUUGUUCGGAUUCACUGGGCGUAAAGGGUGCGUAGGCGGUCGGGUAAGUCUGAUGUGAAAUCUCACAGCUUAACUGUGAAACUGCAUUGGAUACUAUCCGGCUAGAGUAAUGGAGGGGAGACUGGAAUACUUGGUGUAGCAGUGAAAUGCGUAGAUAUCAAGUGGAACACCAGUGGCGAAGGCGAGUCUCUGGACAUUUCCUGACGCUGAGGCACGAAAGCCAGGGGAGCAAACGGG